rfam:Ictidomys tridecemlineatus contig062741, whole genome shotgun sequence.
GGGGUGUAGCUCAGUGGUAGAGCACUUGCCUAGCAUGCACAAAGCCCUGGGUUAAAUUCCCAGCACCACCA